AUUGGCUGGAAGUCCUAGUUGAGAUGUCUUUGUAAUGUUUAAGCAUGUGAGUAGUGUUGUAGUUACAUCUUUAUCUUGUUAUUGACCUAGAGCACUGCCAUGCCACUUUGGUCUAUACACUGUCCAGUGCUCCACAUCCUAAACCAGAGGUAACUCUAGAUGAAGUGGCUUUCUGCUGCUGGUUAAGGGAGAGAGAAUAUAGGACAUCACUGACUAUUUCAUAUCUAGCAACUAACAUAGGACUAAAUGGAAAACCAUUGGAAAAAGAUCCCUUUGAUGGACUAAAAUGCUUUAUGUCAUGCAUCUAACCUGAUAAUUAAGAAAUGUUCAAGAAGGUGAGGGGGAUGCUUCCUGUUCAAUGAAGCUGACUUGAAGUAGCAUGUUCCAAAAGAAUACAAGAAAGAAUCCUUCAUAUUUGGGGAGCACUAGAAGGUAGGAUCAUGAGUAAUCGCACUUGUAUUUACGAAGAAACUCUCAAAUUGGGAAAAAAAAAAAUUAUUUGUCGUGUUUCUUACCAUCAGGCUCUGGCCUAUGAUGUAUGCCAUCCAAAAAGUUCUAUUAAUGGACCAUUGUAUGAUCAAGUUUAACCACAACAGUAUUCCAAAGCAACUAAUUUUUAUCUCCAAUAGUGGAACAUGUGUUACUGUUAGAAGGCCCUUCGUAUUGAUAGGGAAAGUUGGUCACUGUUUUGAGUUAUACAAUGACCUAAUAAAUCAAUAUUUACUUAGACUAAAGAAUUAGCUGUUUAAUACCCAUCUUCAGUCAUUCCCUGCUUGGAGAAGAAUUUGAUUGACAUACACAUAGUCAUUGCAACAUUUGGACAUUUCUUGCCUUGUAAACCGAGUUUGUGUCAUUUGCAGUGCUUUGCAGCAUGGUAUGGUUCAUGUCCAGGAUUAAAGGUAUUGGUUCCAUAUUCUUCAGAAGAUGCACGAGGCCUGCUGAAAGCUGUGAUAAGGGAUCCAGAUCCUGUCGUGUUCCUUGAAAAUGAAUUGUUGUAAGUUGUAUGACAGUGAUGAUUUUCACCAGGCCUACUUAUGAAUGUAGCUUGGCAUCUGUACAUAAUUUUGUAUCAAUCUUAAGUUGUGUAAAUUUUUUCCUUGGGGGAUUAACUUUUCUUGUAUAGAUAUGGAGAAUCAUUUCCUGUCUCGGCUGAGGCUCUUGAUUCCAGUUUCUGUCUUCCUAUUGGGAAAGCUAAGAUAGAACGUGAAGGAAAUGAUGUAACAGUCAAUCACUGCUUUCUGGAAGAUGGUUGGCUGUGCUCUAAAGGACUUUGAGGUUGAUGAAUUCUCAAACGAAUACCUGGCUUUGCACCCAAUGCCAUCAACAACAAAAAAGCCAUCUUUGCUGGAGGAGCAUUUUGAAGCUGUUGAAGAAGAGGAUGAAAAGGCUAUUGGUGAUUCUGAUGCAUCAUCAGCGAGUGAAUUGUCAGACGAUGAGCAUGAAACACAAAGGCCAAAUCCAAGAAGAAAGUACAAGCUCCUAGAUUUUACGAAGUGAAGGAUAAAUGGCAAAAGAAGGGGUUUUCUAAAACCCCUCAAAAACAGAGAGGAAAAACCAACAGAGGGGUUAGGGUUUAGUACCACUGGCGGAGGGUUUAUUACUCCGGUUGAUGGAAGCGAAGAUGUGUUUCUUUCACCAAUCAGCACACCCAGGAGAAGCAGUGUCGGAGGGGGAUGCGACACAAAAAUCCAAGAAAGAAAACCCUACUGAUGAAGAGGAAGCUGGCGAAAGUUAAUCGGGCUCUGGGAGCCCGACUUCUUGAGGAGGAGGAAGAGCUGAAUGAGAAUAAGGGAGCUGAUGAUGCUGAUGCUCAGAAACAUCAGAUGCUAAGAAAACAUCAAAGAAAAAGAAAGGUCUCACGAGUGAAGUUCUCAACGAUGAGAGGUUUACAGCUAUGUUUGAAAAUAAGGGCUGGUAAGAAAGAAACAUGUAAUAUACGUGGUUCAGAUUCGAUCUCUGUGGCAAAGCAUGUGUGUUGGGUCAAGACCCGAUAUGAUUCUUCAUCUGAUUCAAGCACUGAGCCAAAGAAAGUCAGAGGUAUCAUGCAGUUGCUGUAGGCCAAGCCCAUGUUCCACUAUCUCUGACUGCUGUGAGUGCUGAGACUGUAGCUUCCCCUGUGGUCCAUGUGAUCCUGGCAGCAGUGCUAAGACAAAAUGGAAGUUUCUGUAAGUGUUCGACAAUUAAGUUACAAAAUGAUUGAAAUACAUGACAUGGAAAAUGCCAACAUCCAGAGGCCAUAGGUGAUCCUACUGCAAAAAUUAACUCUACUGGAUUGUAAGCUGAGAAGGAAAUGGAAAAAUCUAAGAUGUAAAAUCCGCUAUUACAUUCAGAGAACGCAUCUAAGUCUGGAAAGCCGAAUAUGAAAGAGCUAUCCAUUGACAAAGUUGUUCACCCCAGGACAAGUCUGGCAUCAUAUUACAGCAUUUUACAGGUUUUAGACAUUGGGUAAGCCAGGUAAGUAUUAUGUGUUGUCUGUUUAUUGUGAUUUUAUUGUGAUUGGUAAAGACAUUCAUGCACAUGGUUCAUGGCUAUACAGAGCCCUGAAUGUUAGUGUUUGCAUGUUGAUCAAAGACUUUUAUCAUCAUCGUGAACUCACUUAAGUAUUUCAGGCCUGAGGUGAAAGCAGUCAGUGGAGAGGUUCUGUGAACAUUUGUGUACCAUGAAAUUUUGGCAAGUAUUUUGGACCCUUGCUCUUUUGCGACAUUAUAGUUGCAACUUUUGUUGUGUUAGUACCCAUCAUGUUCUUAUAUUUUUAGAUUGGAUUCUUAGAAUACUG